rnacentral:rRNA from 1 species
AGUGAACGCUGGCGGUAGGCCUAACACAUGCAAGUCGAACGGCAGCACAGUAAGAGCUUGCUCUUACGGGUGGCGAGUGGCGGACGGGUGAGGAAUACAUCGGAAUCUACUUUUUCGUGGGGGAUAAGGUAGGGAAACUUACGCUAAUACCGCAUACAACCUACGGGUGAAAGCAGGGGAUCUUCGGACCUUGCGCGAUUGAAUGAGCCGAUGUCGGAUUAGCUAGUUGGCGGGGUAAAGGCCCACCAAGGCGACGAUCCGUAGCUGGUCUGAGAGGAUGAUCAGCCACACUGGAACUGAGACACGGUCCAGACUCCUACGGGAGGCAGCAGUGGGGAAUAUUGGACAAUGGGCGCAAGCCUGAUCCAGCCAUACCGCGUGGGUGAAGAAGGCCUUCGGGUUGUAAAGCCCUUUUGUUGGGAAAGAAAAGCAGCAGGUUAAUACCCCGCUGUUCUGACGGUACCCAAAGAAUAAGCACCGGCUAACUUCGU